GACGAACGCUGGCGGCGUGCCUAAUACAUGCAAGUCGAACGCAGUGGGGACGGGUGAGUAACACGUGGGUAACCUCCCAUCAGAGGGGAUAACACUUGGAAACAGGUGCUAAACCGAUACUGAUGGAUGAACCCGCGGUGCAUUAGCUAGUUGGUGAGGUAACGGCGCACCAAGGCCACGAUGCAUAGCGCACCUGAGGGGUUGCGCGGCCACCCUGGGACUGAGACCAGGCCACGACCCCUCCGGUGCGCAGCAGUAGGGAAUCUUCUGCAAUUGACGAAAGUCUGACCGAGCAACUCCGCGGGAGUGAAGAAGGUUUUCGGAUCGUAAACCUCUGUUGUUAGAGAAGCGGUAUCUAACCAGAAAGCCACGGCUAACUACGUGCCAGCAGCCGCGGUAAUUC
rnacentral:rRNA from 1 species